rnacentral:rRNA from 1 species
UACGAAGGGGGCGAGCGUUGUUCGGAUUUACUGGGCGUAAAGGGCGCGCAGGCGGCGAGAUUUGUCAGGCGUGAAAUCCCCGGGCUCAACCUGGGAAUUGCGCAUGAUACUGCGGCGCUGGAAGACGGGAGAGGAUGGCGGAAUUCCCAGUGUAGAGGUGAAAUUCGUAGAUAUUGGGAAGAACACCGGUGGCGAAGGCGGCCAUCUGGCCCGUAAUUGACGCUGAGGCGCGAAAGCGUGGGGAGCAAACAGG